rnacentral:rRNA from 1 species
AGUCGUAACAAGGUUUCCGUAGGUGAACCUGCGGAAGGAUCAUUAGAGGAGGAAUGUAAUGAUUUAUUAUUAUUACUGGUUAGGGUGAGGAUGAGGGUGAAGUGGGUUGAUAUGGUGUAUAUACAUGGAUUGAACAAAUUCAUGCAUGCGCAUCAAAACAUAGCAUCAUGUAGCUCUCACCCUUACCUUAACCAGCAGAUUAUUCAACAUUUACAAGAUAUAAAAUUACAUGAGCACCUUGCUGCAAUGGAUCUCUCGGCUCUUGCAUCGAAGAAGAACGCAGUCCAUUGCGAAAAGUCAUGCGACCUGCACUUUUUGAGAAGCAUUACUCUUUGAACGCACCUUGCGCGUGGAAGACGACUUUCACGAGGUCCUGUUUGAGCAAGAAUACAAAAGUAGUACAUGAUCCUUGGAGCGAUUCGAGGAUUCAAAAAUAUGCAGAUGGCCCGAACGACUCUAGGGCAUGACGGAAGCAAGUGGGAUCGAUAUUGCGUUCAAGCAUCACAAUGUCAUCCAUACAAGAGUCCAUCUACUGCAAGAUUGAAGAUGCAUGCUAAACCAUGCCACUUCAUCCACAUACAUUCACUUCUCAAAUCAGGAUAGAGGACCCGCUGAACUUAAGCAUAUCAGUAAGCGGAGGAAAAGAAACUAACGAGGAUUCCCCCAGUAACGGCGAGUGAAGCGGGAACAGCCCAUGGUUGAAGGAGGCAUAAUUUUGCAUUCGUUGUACCGUGGAGAGAGGUUGAAGGGUUUCAGUUUGCAUGCAAGUUCCCUGGAACGGGACGGCAGAGAGGGUUAGACCCCCGUGACAUGCAAGCGGAAAUUGGACAAGUUCUCAUGGAGUCGGAUUGUUUGGGAAUGCAAUCCCAAUUGGGUGGUACGCGCCAUCUAAGGCUAAACAAGGGCAAGAGACCGAUAGCAAACAAGUACCGUGAGGGAAAGAUGAAAAGGACUCUGAAGAGAGAGUCAAAAGUGCGUGAAAUUGCAGCAAGGGAAACGAACGAUUCGCAUAUGGAGCUUGAUGUUAGGGGUAGCUUGAGGAUGCUGGAGGUGGAGACAUUCGCGUGUCUAACAUAGAGCAGGAUCGACAAGCAGGAGCAACAUUGGGUAUUGGCGGAGUGUUCGACC